rnacentral:rRNA from 1 species
GACGAACGCUGGCGGCGUGCUUAACACAUGCAAGUCGAACGAUGAUGCCAGCUUGCUGGUGGAUUAGUGGCGAACGGGUGAGUAACACGUGAGCAACCUGCCCCUGACUUCGGGAUAACCGCGGGAAACCGUGGCUAAUACCGGAUAUGACGCGCUAUCGCAUGGUGGUGUGUGGAAAGAUUUAUCGGUUGGGGAUGGGCUCGCGGCCUAUCAGCUUGUUGGUGGGGUGAUGGCCUACCAAGGCGACGACGGGUAGCCGGCCUGAGAGGGUGACCGGCCACACUGGGACUGAGACACGGCCCAGACUCCUACGGGAGGCAGCAGUGGGGAAGAUUGCACAAUGGGCGCAAGCCUGAUGCAGCGACGCAGCGUGAGGGAUGACGGCCUUCGGGUUGUAAACCUCUUUCAGUAGGGAAGAAGGCCUUCGGGUUGACGGUACCUGCAGAAGAAGCGCCGGCUAACUACGUG